AACGAACGCUGGCGGCAUGCCUAACACAUGCAAGUCGAACGAGACCUUCGGGUCUAGUGGCGCACGGGUGCGUAACGCGUGGGAACCUGCCCUUAGGUUCGGAAUAACUCCCCGAAAGGGGUGCUAAUACCGGAUAAUGUCUUCGGACCAAAGAUUUAUCGCCUUUGGAUGGGCCCGCGUUGGAUUAGCUAGUUGGUAGGGUAAAAGCCUACCAAGGCGACGAUCCAUAGCUGGUCUGAGAGGAUGAUCAGCCACACUGGGACUGGGACACGGCCCAGACUCCUACGGGAGGCAGCAGUGGGGAAUAUUGGACAAUGGGCGAAAGCCUGAUCCAGCAAUGCCGCGUGAGUGAUGAAGGCCUUAGGGUUGUAAAGCUCUUUUACCCGGGAUGAUAAUGACAGUACCGGGAGAAUAAGCCCCGGCUAACUCCGUG
rnacentral:rRNA from 1 species